rnacentral:rRNA from 1 species
AGUGAACGCUGGCGGUAGGCCUAACACAUGCAAGUCGAACGGCAGCACAGGAGAGCUUGUUCUCUGGGUGGCGAGUGGCGGACGGGUGAGGAAUACAUCGGAAUCUACUCUGUCGUGGGGGAUAACGUAGGGAAACUUACGCUAAUACUGCAUACGACCUACGGGUGGAAGCAGGGGAUCUUCGGACCUUGCGCGAUUGAAUGAGCCGAUGUCGGAUUAGCUAGUUGGCGGGGUAAAGGCCCACCAAGGCGACGAUCCGUAGCUGGUCUGAGAGGAUGAUCAGCCACACUGGAACUGAGACACGGUCCAGACUCCUACGGGAGGCAGCAGUGGGGAAUAUUGGACAAUGGGCGCAAGCCUGAUCCAGCCAUACCACGUGGGUGAAGAAGGCCUUCGGGUUGUAAAGCCCUUUUGUUGGGAAAGAAAUCCAGCUGGCUAAUACCCGGUUGGGAUGACGGUACCCAAGGAAUAAGCACCGGCUAACUUCGUGCCAGCCGCCGCCGUAA